rnacentral:rRNA from 1 species
UACGUAGGGGGCAAGCGUUGUCCGGAAUCAUUGGGCGUAAAGGGCGCGUAGGCGGUUUGUUAAGUCGGCUGUGAAAGCCCGGGGCUCAACCCCGGAGGGUCAGCCGAUACUGGCAGACUAGAGUACGGAAGAGGUAGCUGGAAUUCCCGGUGUAGCAGUGAAAUGCGUAGAGAUCGGGAGGAACAUCUGUGGCGAAGGCGACACCCUGGACCAGCACUGACACUGAGGUGCGAAAGCGUGGGGAGCGAACAGG